AUCAGAGAAACAGAGUUUGUGCAGAGAAACAGAGUUUGUGUAGAGAAACAGAGUUUGUGAUUUAUACUUAGAAUCUGAGACCAAGUCAGCAUUUUUUUUUCUUUGUUUCAUCAAAUUCACUAUCAGAGAAACUAUGACGAGCUUCCUAAGAUUGAAACCAAGCACAGAAAUUGAUUUUAAUAAGGAAAGUAUGAUCCUUUUUUGCAAUUAGAACCUGGAACAAGAGGUUCAAAUCGAGAUUUCGUCAAGAUCAUGAGCUCGGGAGAGGAUAAUCAAAAGCCCAGGAAUCAAAAGAGAAACUUGAAUCGAGAAAACCCAGAAAAAAUAAGGAAAU